AGCAGCCGCGGUAAUUCCAGCUCCAAUAGCGUAUAUUAAAGUUGUUGCAGUUAAAAAGCUCGUAGUUGAAUUUCGGGAUCAGUUGGUCGGUCGUGCCUCGGUACGUACUGGUCAAAUUGAUUCCUACCUUCUGACGAACCACGGUGUCAUUAAUUUGGUGUCGUGGGAAAUCAGGACUGUUACUUUGAAAAAUUAGAGUGUUUAAAGCAGGCUCGCGCUUGAAUACAUUAGCAUGGAAUAAUGAAAUAGGACGUUUGAUUCUAUUUUGUUGGUUUCUAGGAUCGACGUAAUGAUUAAUAGGGAUAGUUGGGGGCAUUAGUAUUCAAUUGUCAGAGGUGAAAUUCUUGGAUUUAUUGAAGACUAACUACUGCGAAAGCAUUUGCCAAGGAUGUUUUCAUUAAUCAAGAACGAAAGUUAGGGGAUCGAAGACGAUCAGAUACCGUCGUAGUCUUAACCAUAAACUAUGCCGACUAGGGAUCGGAUGAUGUUAAUUUUUAAUGACUCAUUCGGCGCCUUACGG
rnacentral:rRNA from 1 species